UACGGAGGGGGCUAGCGUUGUUCGGAUUCAUUGGGCGUAAAGGGUGCGUAGGUGGCGCGGUAAGUCGGGUGUGAAAUCUCGGAGCUUAACUCCGAAAUUGCAUUCGAUACUGCCGUGCUCGAGGACUGGAGAGGAGACUGGAAUUCAUGGUGUAGCAGUGAAAUGCGUAGAGAUCAUGAGGAAGACCAGUGGCGAAGGCGGGUCUCUGGACAGUUCCUGACGCUGAGGCACGAAGGUCAGGGGAGCAAACGGG
rnacentral:rRNA from 1 species